AUUGAACGCUGGCGGCAUGCCUUACACAUGCGAGUCGAACGGCAGCACGGGAGCAAUCCUGGUGGCGAGUGGCGAACGGGUGAGUAAUAUAUCGGAACGUGCCCAGGCGUGGGGGAUAACGUAGCGAAAGCUACGCUAAUACCGCAUACGAUCUAUGGAUGAAAGCGGGGGAUCGCAAGACCUCGCGCGAUUGGAGCGGCCGAUAUCAGAUUAGGUAGUUGGUGAGGUAAAGGCUCACCAAGCCGACGAUCUGUAGCUGGUCUGAGAGGACGACCAGCCACACUGGGACUGAGACACGGCCCAGACCCCUACGGGAGGCAGCAGUGGGGAAUUUUGGACAAUGGGCGCAAGCCUGAUCCAGCAAUGCCGCGUGCAGGAUGAAGGCCUUCGGGUUGUAAACUGCUUUUGUACGGAGCGAAAAGGCUUCCACUAAUACUGGGGGCUCAUGACGGUACCGUAAGAAUAAGCACCGGCUAACUACGUGCCAGCAGCCGCAGUAA
rnacentral:rRNA from 1 species